rnacentral:tRNA from 1 species
GCGUCUGUAGCUCAGUUGGUUAGAGCACCACCUUGACAUGGUGGGGGUCGAUGGUUCGAGUCUAUUCAGACGCACCA